rnacentral:rRNA from 1 species
UGGGGAAUAUUGGACAAUGGGCGAAAGCCUGAUCCAGCCAUGCCGCGUGUGUGAAGAAGGUCUUCGGAUUGUAAAGCACUUUAAGUUGGGAGGAAGGGUUGUAGAUUAAUACUCUGCAAUUUUGACGUUACCGACAGAAUAAGCACCGGCUAACUCUGUGCCAGCAGCCGCGGUAAUACAGAGGGUGCAAGCGUUAAUCGGAAUUACUGGGCGUAAAGCGCGCGUAGGUGGUUUGUUAAGUUGGAUGUGAAAUCCCCGGGCUCAACCUGGGAACUGCAUCCAAAACUGGCAAGCUAGAGUAUGGUAGAGGGUGGUGGAAUUUCCUGUGUAGCGGUGAAAUGCGUAGAUAUAGGAAGGAACACCAGCGGCGAAGGCGACCACCUGGACUGAUACUGACACUGAGGUGCGAAAGCGUGGGGAGCAAACA